rnacentral:rRNA from 1 species
UACAGGGGGGGCAAGCGUUGUUCGGAAUUACUGGGCGUAAAGGGUCUGUAGGUGGCCAACUAAGUCAGACGUGAAAUCCCUCAGCUUAACUGGGGAACUGCGUCUGAUACUGGAUGGCUCGAGUGUGGGAGAGGAAUGCGGAAUUCCAGGUGUAGCGGUGAAAUGCGUAGAGAUGUGGAGGAACACCGAUGGCGAAGGCAGCCUUCUGGGCCAACACUGACGCUCAUGCACGAAAGCGUGGGGAGCAAACAGG